AUGGGAUCACGUUCUAUAAUCAAACAACCCAAGAAUCCAAAGAGCACAUAUGAAUUUCACAAACCCUUUGGCUCUUCAGAACUGAAAGUAGGAAUAUUUGAAAAGACAAGCCUGAGUGUGAGGUUAUUAGAUGAGGAGGAGGAAGAAGAGGAUGACACAGGAGUGAAAUCGUAUGGACUGAACCUGGACUUUAUUCUAAGGACUAUUUACUGUCCAGAGAUAUCCUACUGAAGAACUCUGGUAUUGAUAUUCAUGCCAGCAACCAGCUCCUGCACUGUUUAACAGUCUUCCACUGGCAUGAUAAAGUAACUUUGUGUUUUGCACGAACAAGGCAUCCCAGAUUGGAUUCACUGGCAAUUAAAAAUGCUGCAUACAAAAACUCGGAUAAACUGAGAAACAAGAAUUGCCUGAGUCAGUUGCAGACUGCAGAAUAGUAGCAGAACAAGCACUUGGGUGAGCUCUGCAGUGUCCAUGAGAGUGUACCGGACGUGAUACUGACUAGGAAAACACACUUCUCAUUCUACUAUGAUUAGUAACGAUCCCAAGACAGCACAAAUUUAAUCUUCAUGACUGUGGAAUUGUCAUUAAACAUACUGAGAAGAAGCUUGGAGCAUUUUUAUAUUCUUUUUCACUGAAGUGCAACAUUAUGAGAAAAAAAAUAGACGAGAAGUCCAACCUCCUCCACCUUUCUUAUCAUGCUGUGAGUACCAUAACUUUGUAUUGUCCAUAGAUGGCAGCACUAUCAAUUUACUUGCUUCACUCUUAUCAAACACAUGAGAUAACAGCCAUAAACAGCACACACAACAUGCGCUUACACAAUGCAUCUCAUUUAGUUUGCCUGAUUGCUAUAAUAUAAGUCAAACAAACAAAAGAAAAAACACAUUCCCCUAGGGUUCUUCAAAUUUGAAGCAGAUUUCAUGGAAAUUUAACUUGAUUCCAGGAAUAUAAUUGAACUAACAAUCUGUUCUAUCAGACAGGAUGUCCCUGGCUUGAUAUUAUGCAGGGCUGGACAGAUGCCAGAGCAGAUUUGAAUGUACCCCGAAGUGCUGGUGAAAAAUGACUGGGCUUUUCUAAAAACAAGAUGUAUGUGCUGGGUAGGUCAGGCAGCAGUACUGUGGGUGAUGUAAGUCUUCCCUUCCGUUUAACCUAUCAGGGCUCAAAUGUGCUAGAAUUGUAAACAAAGAGAAAAUGCAGCAAACAGAGUGUAAACAAGAAAAGCCAAAGUGCUUAUCCUGUGAAUGCUCCGCAGAAAGCAAACCUGUAUGCAAAUACACAGCGGUGGAAUGCUUAAGGACCGUGCUCUAUGCUGAAGUAUGAAGCCAACAGCCAACAGAGCCAAAAUAUGCUUUCCAAAAUCAGAGUAUGACUUAGUUUAUCCAGAUUCAGGGUCUCGCAUGCACAGAAAGCAAUUAAAACUAGAGAGGCAGUAAUGGAAUGAUUUGGAGCAGCUAUAUAGAUUUUUUUUUUAAAGUACUAAUUCCCUUUAUCCAAAGACCAGAAAGAUAAACAGACUCACAGCAAGAAAAUGAGAAUAGAUUUAAAUAUGAAUCACUAGAGCAUGAUUUUUGAUGAAUUUGAAAUAAAACAAAGUUUUUUGUUUGUUUGUUUGAGUUCCCAAGGAAGCAGUGUAGGUGAUCAUUCAGUCCUCUUUAUGUGCAAGUACCAGUCUGGUGACUGACUGCUCCCUUUCUGUACUUUCUAGUAUAUUGGUCAAUGUCAAUCAAACUUGACAUGAUCACAGGCCUCUCCAGGUUAUUAAAUUCCUACAGGCUGUGUGAAUAUAGGCAGCCAGGUGGAAUGGAGAGAGCCUACUAAGUAUCCCUCCAUGAGGUGAAAGCUGCAACAUGGUCUCACUUCUUAUUACCCACCAGAAAAUACAUGCGUGAAAGACGUAUUAUGAAUGUUCUGACUGGAAGUUUCAACUGAAGCAUGCAUUUUUUUAGACAUUAGAAUAACCAGUCACACCAAAAUUUAAAGGAAAUCACGCCCUGUAAUUCCUCUGCUCACAGAACUGUUUUAAAUUACUAGAGGGCUACUGCAGGCCUUGGUCUUUAGACAACGCAUAAUGAAACAGAACAUUUCAUUAGUGCAAAACUUAAUUUGAGAUUGAAAAUCUGUCAAGUCCAUGCCCCCAUCUACCUCAUGGAAUCUGUAGUUGAGAACCGUAAUACCUAGAGACUACAGCAAUUGGCAUGUUAUAAAGAUCAUGGAUAUACUAGCUACAUAAAGGAAAGUGUUCACUGGUGGAUAUGGAAGGUGCACUUGUCUGAACAAUUCUCAUUUAUAAAACAUAUAUAAUUGUCUGUGUUUUGGCAUGGACUCUCUUAGACUUCUCCAUUUUGUUGCUGGAAGUACUCAAACCCUGAUCAAAAAGAUGCAAUACAUGCCCAGAUUAGACAAAAGCAACAUCUAUUUCACAUUUGGGUCUAUUUUUUGACUAACUAAGGUCAAAAAAUUUGAUCAAUUUAGGAAAUCAGUUGCUUGCUCUCCUGCAGGGACUACCAGCCACAAAGUAUGAGCAGACCUGCAGAUGGAAAGAUCGUUCUUGUCAAGUACUGUUUUUUCUGACCAGAAGCCAGGAAGCAACUUCCUAAAGUAGAUGUUCCUCAGCAAUGGAGCACUAUGGAUGGUCUCCAGGAAUGGCUGAGCCAGUCCCUGACCUCCAUUGUCCAUGGAGAAAUGUGAUCUGAUACCAUUUAAGCUUGCUUAGCCCCAGUGAAAGUGUCUUUCAAUAACAAUAGCAAGAAACCUCUCCCAGGAGCAUCCUUGGUUCUCCCCUCCACCCGACUGCACUUUCCAGCUCCAGAUCCCAAAUACUUUGUUAAAUACCAUGCAGCUUAUUUUAAUAAAAUAUUCACCUCUAUUUUUUAGUCAUGAGGGAGCAGCCUGAAUUAACUUAGCUCCCAACCAGCUGAAACAAUCUGCAGUGCAAGACUUGCUGAUGCUGCCAGAUAGUUAUAUAAGCAUUUCUUCACAUCCCACAUAUCCAGGGCUUCUGAACUUAAAAAACCUGUCAUGUUGCAUGCUCUCAUAAUCACCACUUUUAGCAUCCUUCAAAUGUUGACAAGCAUGUGAUGGUUUGCUGAUGGGAAACUACUGAUAUAGCUGAGUACUCCAACAGCUUCCUGGAACCUGCUGCAGAAACACAGCCUCUCGCAACAAAAUUAUAAUGAUAAUGGCCCUGGAGUCAGCUGCACUGCAAAGAUUUCUGGACAGACUCAAACAGAAUUUAAGAUGCUUUUCUCAGUAAGACUAAAUGAGGACAUUAUCAUAUUCCCUUCACUGGAAGGGUGGAUUUAACCUGUAGACUUGUAGGUAUGAAGUGUUCUAUGAUACCACCAGGAAUCUGAAGAAAAAGAGAUACCAUGAAUUGGGUUUGAUAGCUGAGAUUAUAAGAAACCCUUACUUCUCUGACCUGAAGCAAUUCCUACAGAAACGCUGCUGAGCUGCAGAGAUUACAUGUGGAUCCUGAAAUCCUUGUGUGCUGCUGUUUAAAAUUUGCUUCUGACCAUUAUUAGAUCAUAAGCAGUUUUAAAAUGUAUAUCUGUAUCAAUAUAUAUAUAUAUUUUGACAAACGCAAAUCUGAGAGAUAUACUGUGAAAGCCCACAAUACAGAACUUAGAAAUCUUCCUUUUUGCCUUCAAAAACAAACAAACAAACAAAAAAUGAAAACAGCUGACCUUUGCUGUGGGUGGGAUUCAUUUUAACAGUUUUCCUUUCGGGCAUGUUUUACAAGAAAAACUUCUAAAUAUUAUUCAUUGGUCAUUGGUCAAUUGUGUAAGAUAAUGUCUGUUGGCAUACAUACAGGACAGUUGCUAUGUGAUCUGUGCUUUAUUUGUGUUUUUCCUGAAUGACCAUUAUAUAUGUUCCUUUUCAUUUAUUACUUUACUAUCUAAUGUUUUAAGAUGCCAAAAUAAAAACCUGCAUACGAAUGAUUUUGAUUUAAAGGGAGCAAAAAAUAUUGCUUUUUGUAAAUGUGAACACAGUUCAGCAGAAACAAAAAAAAUCAAAUAGGGAAUGAACAAUAGCAUAUUCUUCAACAAGACAU